rnacentral:rRNA from 1 species
AGUGAACGCUGGCGGUAGGCCUAACACAUGCAAGUCGAACGGCAGCACAGUAAGAGCUUGCUCUUACGGGUGGCGAGUGGCGGACGGGUGAGGAAUACAUCGGAAUCUACUUUUUCGUGGGGGAUAACGUAGGGAAACUUACGCUAAUACAGCAUACGACCUACGGGUGAAAGCAGGGGAUCUUCGGACCUUGCGCGAUUGAAUGAGCCGAUGUCGGAUUAGCUAGUUGGCGGGGUAAAGGCCCACCAAGGCGACGAUCCGUAGCUGGUCUGAGAGGAUGAUCGGCCACACUGGAACUGAAACACGGUCCAGACUCCUACGGGAGGCAGCAGUGGGGAAUAUUGGACAAUGGGCGCAAGCCUGAUCCAGCCAUACCGCGUGGGUGAAGAAGGCCUUCGGGUUGUAAAGCCCUUUUGUUGGGAAAGAAAAGCAGCAGGUUAAUACCCCGCUGUUCUGACGGUACCCAAAGAAUAAGCACCGGCUAACUUCGUG